CGGUAAACCACCAAAAAAAAAAAAGAGUGAAAAAAAAUGCUGGUUCUUUCUCUUCUCCCUCCUCUGUCCCCUUGCCCUCAAAUCACUCCCUUAGCUUCAAUCCCGUCAUCAUCCAUAAUCUCCACAAAUCAAAGCAGCAAUCAUAAACUUAGCCGCAGGAAAACUCUCUCUCUUCUGACUUCCCCCCUCAUCAUCUCUCUUCCCAUUGAAACUGCAAGGGCUGAGGAUAAGGACGAGACCCAACAAGAAGAGGAGCGAGUCAUCCAAAUCUUUCAGGAUGCAUCUCCAUCUGUCGUGUUCAUCAAAGUCUUGGCAUUGCAACCAAAAUCUGGGCAAAAUAAGAAGGAUGUCCCUGUGAUCGAGGAAGAAGACGCCAAGGUUGAAGGAACUGGGUCUGGGUUUGUUUGGGACAAGGCUGGCCACAUUGUGACAAACUAUCACGUUAUAGAUAAAUUGGCCACUGAUCAGUCUGGUUUACGACGUUGCAAGGUUUUCUUCGAAGAUGUGAAUGGAAGUACUUUUGCUAGGGAAGGAAAGCUUAUAGGAUAUGAUGCCUCCUAUGAUCUUGCAGUUUUGAAGGUUGAUGUUGAGGGUGAUAAGCUGAGACCACCCCUUAUUGGUUCUUCGCGUGAUCUUCGAGUGGGUCAGAGUUGUUUCGCCAUUGGAAAUCCUCUUGGAUACGAGCAUACACUAACUACUGGGGUUGUAAGUGGGCUGGGGAGGGAAAUACCUUCACCAAAUGGGAGGCCAAUUCGAGGAGCUAUACAGACUGAUGCAGCAAUAAAUGCUGGGAACUCAGGAGGGCCUCUCAUUGACUCCUAUGGCCAUGUAAUUGGAGUCAACACCGCCACAUUCACUCGUAAAGGGACUGGAAUAUCUUCUGGCGUCAACUUUGCCAUUCCCAUUGAUGUUGUUUUCCGCACAGUUCCAUUUUUGAUUGUAUCCUGUUCUGAUCCACGACGGUGGGCCCAUUUGGGAAUCCUUUGUUAUUAUUCAUUACAUUGAUCGGCACACUGCCCAAGGAUCCUUAUGCCAAGGACCAGGACGGAGUUGGGUCGAUUUCAUUGAGAAAGAAGAUAUAUGAAUGUAGCAAAGCUGUGAAACCUCAAGGGAGAGGUAUGGGAGGAAGCAAAAAAGGAAUUCAUAGAGAUCAGGAAGCUGUUGGAGAACAAGCUCAGCGACUAAGGAAUUCAUAGAGAUCAUGAUAUAUUUAUACUUAUCAUGGUAAUAUAAUUCCAUUCCUUGUUGCUUUCAAAGGAUUCUGGAAUUUAUUUGCACUGUUUGCACAUUUUAUCUUGCCGUUUGGUUUAUGCUUUUGUAUUAUCACGUGGAUGGAUUGGGUAAUCAGAGGGUGUGACAACAUUUCUUCUUAUUCAUGCUUGUAUCUGAUUUGUAAACAGCACCCUUUCAAAUUCAAGCUUUCAAAUUCAACUUCAUAGCUGUUUUGUCUU